CUACGGCCAUAUGUCGUUGAAAGAUCGGUUCUCGUACGAUCACGUAAGUUAAGCAAUGUCAAGCCUUGUCAGUACCUAGGUAGGUGACUGCUUGGGAAUACCAUGUGCUGUAAG